GACGAACCGUGCGAACGUUAUUCGGAAUCACUGGGCUUAAAGCGCGUGUAGGCGGGCCGCCGCGUCGGCUGCUGAAAUCCCCCGGCUCAACCGGGGAACGAGCACCGAUACGGGCGGCCUCGAGGGGGGUAGGGGGGUCUGGAACUUCCGGUGGAGCGGUGAAAUGCGUUGAGAUCGGAAGGAACGCCCGUGGCGAAAGCGAGGCCCUGGACCCUUUCUGACGCUGAGACGCGAAAGCCAGGGAGCGAACGGG
rnacentral:rRNA from 1 species